rnacentral:sRNA from 1 species
AUAAAGCAAGCGCUGAAUCCCUUUUAAGGGAACGGGGGAACCAACUUUUUGGGGUGAAUCCCCGCACUCAGUAGUCUUUACGUCUUCCCUAAAAUCCCAUUAUCCUAAAGGAAAUUUUGGAUAAAGCAAAGGAGCAAGGGAAAAAAACUGAGUGCGGGGUAGGGUUAGCUUUCGACCCGAACCCGGCAGCUAACUUCGUAAGCGUGGAAAGUGAAAGA